CCUACCCUUCACGCUACAUGCUCACAAACUUGUAGGGUCAUAUGCUCCUAUACUAAUUUUACCUAUUGCAAAAAUCAAUUGAGCAAGGUUAUGAACAUUUACGUUAAAUUGUUGCUACAAUAAUUAAGAUUUUCUAGACAAAGACAUUUUGUUCAUCCUUGCCUCUACGUAUAAGGUAACCAUGCCAACAGCUAAAUCACAGAUAGAUUUGACCUCUUUUGUUUGUGAUGAAUAGAAAAAAAAUGAAAAACAACUUCCAUGUUUGCCACAAAAAAUCAACUGCCAGUAAGAUCAUAUGCAAAACUUGUCAAUCACAAGAUCAGGUUUAUGAAGCUGAGAAACUGGUUUGAAUGAAGAUUUGCUGGCACAAAACAGAAGCCAUUGAAGCUACAGAGUUCAAAGGAGUCUUGUUGUUGCCAAAGCCCUGCCUUCUAUACUGUGUUGCAGGCUUGACCAGCCUUAUCCAAAAGCGAGUCUAAUGUUUCUCAGAGAACAAAAUGACUCAUGCACGCUGGUUCAAAUCUUGAGGUGUUGCAGUAACAUGAUGUCCUUGUGGAAUGUGGACACCUCAAGGCAGCUUUAAGACAAAUGAAAGGAUUUCAGCUCAAUAUGACAUUCAACCUAACCUUCGCACCUUUACAAGUCUGACAGACAGGUAAGUCAGCAUCAGACCAGUCUGCUCCACUGGUGACACAUCAACUGUCUGCUGCUCAUCUCCCAGUACCUCAAAGCUUUGCUGUGUUGCCAAGGCAUCCAAGUAAAGAAAGCACAAAUCGAGGCUAAAGUCAAGGAUUGGGGGUUGCACAUAACUGAGGAAGCGUACCAUGCAGGCCAUAGCAAGUCCAUUGGGUCACACAUACACACACACAGACAUUCCAGUCUUCUGAGAAAAUUGCUUUGAGAGAUCCUACCAAUCCUGUUUGGCAAGGGAAUGGAGGGAGGAAAGGGGUGGAUAAGGGAGCGAUAUAUGGAGGGAAAAAUGAGAUGUAUUGCUAGAUUGAAUAGUUCUUACGAAAUGUUUCUGAUGGUUUUUAUGCACGCUGCAUCACGUUAAACAGUGAA